CCUGGACUCGGCCGGGCUGGGGUAGGGCGGGUGGAGGGUCCCCGCCGGGUCCCAGGGAGGCCCCUGAGAAGGGGCCGCGAGUGUCCCCCGUGAAGAGGGCCCAGACGGGGCAGGUGGCAGGUGGGGGGCAGCCAACAGCCCGAGCAGGGAGGAGCCUCUGUGAAGGCCGUCGGCCGGAGGUCUGGGCGUCCCGGGGCCGGGGGGGGGGGGGCGGACGCUGAGGCCGUGUGCCGGCGGGGCUGCUUCGCCCUGGCGGUGCCCGGCUCUGGGGGGCUGCUGCUUAACCACGAGAGACGCCCUUUUGGGAGAGACUGAGCUGUGCUCCUGUGCAUGUAUGUGCGUGUGUGCCCGUGUGCAUGUAUGUGCACGUGUGUGUGCCCGUGUGUGUGCUGGUGUGUACGUGCCUGUGUGUGCGUGUGUGUGUGCAUGUGUGUAUGUGCCCAGAUGUGCGUGUGUGCCCGUGUGUGUAUGUGUGCAUGCGUGUGCGUGUGCGCCUGUGUGUACGUGCCCAUGGGUGUGCAUUGUGUAUGUGCCCAUGUGUGUGUGUACAUGUGCCUGUGUGCCCGUGUGUGUGUACGUGCCCGUGUGUGCAUGUGUGUAUGUUCGUGUGCGUGCAGUGUGUAUGUGCCCGCAUGUGCGUGUGUGCCCAUGUGUGUAUGUGCCCGUGUGCGUGUACAUGCCUGUGUGCGCAUGUGUGUAUGUGCGCAUGUGUGUAUGUGCCCGUGUGUGCGUGUGCGCCUGUGUGUACGUGCCCAUGUGUGUGCAUUGUGCAUGUGCCCGUGUGUGUACAUGUGCCUGUGUGCCCGUGUACGUGCCCAUGUGUGUGCAUUGUGCAUGUGCCUGUGUGUGUGUACAUGUGCCUGUGUGCCCGUGUGUGCGUGUACGUGCCGUGUGUGCAUUGUGCAUGUGCCCGUGUGUGUACAUGUGCCCGUGUGUGUGCCCGUGUGUGCGUGUAUGUGCCCAUGUGUGUGCAUUGUGCAUGUGCCCGUGUGUGUGUACAUGUGCCCGUGUGUGUGCCCAUGUGCAUGUGUACACACGGACAGGAAUUAGCACCUGAGCUUGCCCUGGGGGGGUCUGGCUGGGGGAGGCUGACCCUCGCUGGGAUGUUUCUGGCUCAGUGGAGGCGGAGCCCGGGACAGGCCAUGGACGGAGCACACGGAGGCUCAGAGAGGUGGAGGGGCCCAGGGAGGGUCAGCCAGCAAAUGCCCGCACCAAGAUUUGAACCCAGGUCUUUAGAUCUCCCAAGACGGUGCCUCCCCUCCCCCCCAGGAUGGGGGUCGGGAGGGUCUCCUGACCUCGGGACUUCCUGGUGUUGCUCCCCCGGAGCCCCAGAGGGUGAGAGCUGGGGCUGCGUCAUGGGGCGGCCCCGCUUUCCUGCGUGA
rnacentral:lncRNA from 1 species